rnacentral:lncRNA from 1 species
GGUUCUUGGAGUAGUUUCCACUCAUGGGUCCAACCCUUGUUAGUUGUCAAAACUGUCAGAGGAGCAGAUGCUGUUACAACAGCUGGCCUGAGACCAUCUUGGGAAGGAGCAAACCUUUCAGGAGCUAUUUUCUUUUCAUUAAGUAGUGCAUUUCUCACUGGCAAAAGGGAGGGCAGGUAAUCGAUAGAUCAACACCAGAAGUUUUGUGAUGAUUUCCUAGGGGAGAGACUGCCUGGGAGCCUAAAGUCUGUUCUGUCUGGCCCG